rnacentral:misc_RNA from 1 species
UUUCCGUAGGUGAACCUGCGGAAGGAUCAUUACAGAGUUCAUGCCCUCACGGGUAGUUCUCCCACCUUGAAUAUUUAUACCUUAGUUGCUUUGGCAGGCCGUGGAAACACCAUGGGCUCCGGCUUAUGCGUGCCUGCCAGAGGAAACAAACUCUGUUUUUAGUGAUGUCUGAGUACUAUAUAAUAGUUAAAACUUUCAACAACGGAUCUCUUGGUUCUG